UACUUUAUAGUUCAAAAAUUAUUAUAAAACUUAUAUAAUUAUUACAAACUUUAAUCAAUUUUUAAUACAUAUAGCUGUUAAGAUUGUCAUCCGGUAGCGUGUUGGUAGCAUUUCUCGUUUAAAAAAAUUUUUUUUUGUGUAUGAUUGUCAUGCCUUGGAUAUAAAAUAUUUAUUUAUAUUACGUUACAUAUUUACAUUAUGCAUUUGUAUUAUAGAAUGUCUUUUUCAUAUUUGGAAAGUACAUGAUAAUAUAUAAGAAUAUAGAAACAAAUAGACAGUAUAUGUUCCUUUUAGACUUCAAUUUAAUAAAUUAAAUAUUAAUUCAGAAAUAAAUGAAUACAUAUUUCUUAUUAUUCCAUUACAUUUGUAAUACUUCAAUUCUAUGACCUACAUAAGUAUAUAGGUAACUUACAUCAUCAAAUAUUUUAUAUAACAUACACUAUUUAACAUGUUCUAUUGCAUAUAAUUUAAUUUAUGUGUUAUUGAAAAUAUUAUUUAAAUAAUAAAAUAAUGGAACGAACAACAAAUAAAAACUACAUGUAUAAUUUGGAACUGCAAUCACUACAUUAUUGGUACAAACGUGCUAUACCCCAAAAUCCAUUAAUUAAAUAUAACAAUGUAAUGAAGAUUAUGCAAAAUACAAUUUACAGUGAUGAUAUUAUAGAUGUCAAUAAUCAAGAUUUUAAAAAGUAAGGACUUUAAGAGUUAGUUACUUAUAAACUAACAAUUUCUUUAUUUAAUGUAUAUUUUUAUUUAAAGGUCACACAUUAAUUUUCAUAACAGAGUAAUUUUAAGAACUAUCUUUGAACAUUGGAAAAUGUAUGUUAUACAUAAAUUACAUUCAAGAAGAGCUGUAUACAAAGCAAAUUAUUUUUAUCAUAAGAAAUUGCAAAGGAAAGUUCUGAAUGCAUUAUGCAAGAAUGUAUUAUUAAAGUGGAAACACAUUUUUUCAUCAACAAACAACUGCACCAAUAAAUUAGUAGUUUUUAUCAAUGAUAAGAAAGCUGAAGUACAUUGUAAUAGAGUAUUAUUAAAAAGAUAUUUCACAUAUUGGUAUAAAUUGAUGACAACUGAAUUUAAAGCAUCUUCAUUAUUACAAAAGGCUAUUGCAUUUUAUGAUUUACAUUGUUUAAAGAAGUGCAUGAAAUAUUGGAUAGUUUAUAUAAAAUAUCAAAAGCAAAAGAAACUUAUGCAAGACAAAAUAGAUGAGGUAGCACUAACAUUAACAAUUAUUACUUGUAUUUUUUAAUUAAUAAAGUAAUUUAUACCUUAGGCACGUAAUUUUUACACAAAAAAGAUUUUGCAAAGAUGCAUAGAAGCUUGGUUACGCAACUCUGAAUUUACUUUUCAAAAACCAAAAAUAGAAAAUGCAGUUUUACACUAUGAAAACAAAUUAUUGAAAAAAUAUUUCUCUGUUUGGAAAACAUACUAUAAUUCAAAAAUACAGAAAUUAAUUAUAAAUGCACGCGUUCAAGAGUAUUAUAAAAAGAAAUUAAUGAAACAGUAUUUUGAACAGUUUAUUAUGCACAUAAAGGAGUCUGUUAUUAGCAAAAUAGCUCAACAAAAAGCCGAAAUGUUUUACAAUAUGAAAUGUAUGCAAAAAGGAUUUUUUGCAUGGCAAAAAUGGUACUAUGAAAAACUGCAAAGAACAGAAAGAAUGAAUGCAAUCAAAAGUAUAUUUGAAAAUCAGAGAAAACGCUCAACAUUUGAUAACUGGUGCUUAUAUAUACACGAUAAAAAAUGCAGAAGAAGAAAGACGUUUUCAUCACACAAUUUCUAUAAAAAAAAAUUGUUGUCUAGGGCUCUAAAAAGUCUUUAUAAUUAUACUAUUUAUAGAAAAGAAAAGCAACUGAAAUUAUCUUAUUUGAAUGAAAAAAGUAUGAUGAUUACUUAUUAUUUGCAGAAUAUUUAUAUAAAAAAAUGGAUAAGAUCGCUUUAUAUUGCAAUACAAGAAAAACGAAAAUUACAUGAAGCCAUUGAAUUUUGGCAAACAAAUUUAUUUCGUAAAUACUUUUUUUACUGGAAAAAGUUUUCUGAAAAACAUAAAACAAAAAACAUUUAUAAAAACGAAUUAAAUAAACUUGCUUCUGACUUUUUAUUAAAAAAAUAUAUUGUACAUUGGCGUGACAAAUUACAAAAUACCCUUGAAAUGAAGAAGAAAGAAAUGUUUAUAAAAUCUAUAAUAAAUCAAAGAAUUUUAAGAAAAUAUUUGUCUUUUUGGAAACAGUACAUUCUUCAAAAAGCUGCAAAGAGAAACAAUAUUGAAGCAGCCAAAGAAAUGUACAAAAAAUUUCUGUUACGAGAUGGAUUGAAAAAGGUUGUAAAAUAUACUCUUCAUAAUAUUGAGCAGAAACACUGCUUGCAACUAGAAAAUGCAGCAAUUAGGUCUUUUAAAAAUUUUGAAGUUUUAAAAGAGUAUUUCGAUAAGUGGCAAUCUAUAAUUUAUUUAAAAAACAAAUCAAAAUCAUUGCACAAAGUUAUAAGCAACACAGAUUUCCAGUUGCCGUAUUCUGAUACUUCAUGUAACAUACAUUGUGGCAUUAAAAACAUAGGUUUAGUUUUGCCAGAAUACAUGAAGGAAGAAGAUACAAUUUCUAUCAUUCCUGAUUGUGUCAUGUUUCCUCUAGAAAAUCGUUCUUUCAAUUUCUUUCAGUCACAUUAAAACAAACGCAAGGAUACGUAGUGCCUGAUCUUAAGUAAAUUUAUAUAAAAUGCUUUAUUAUAAUUACAUCAUUUAUGUACACAUUAUUGUCUUAAAUGAUAUCAGUCUGAUACAACUGUUGUAGUGUUUUAAAAGUAGAUGAAAAAGGUCAAGAUAUUUUUAUGUAUAAUAUUUAAUUUCAAAAACAUUUUAAGUAUGCAGAUUACAAUACUCAUGAAUCUAAUAUCGCUAAUAUAGCGAUGAUGACGAUUUCCAUUAUAUCUGACGUUCCAAUUUGUGUAAGAUCAGUAAUUGUCAGCAUCGAAUUUUGUUAAUUUUAUUUUUUUCUUUUCAGCUUUUUUAGUUCACCUUGUUGCGUAGCGGCUUCGCCAAAAAUUUCCUUCACUUUACGUUUACGUUCUUCAUCACUCUUAAUUUGUUGCUUGAUUUGUAAUUUCGCUAUGAAAGCUUUAUCCCUUCGUAUUUCACGAACAGCACCCUUCAUUUCUUUCUUAUAUUUAUGCAAUAAUUUUUCUCUCUCUGCUUUCUCCUUAGACAUAGACUUAUGCUUUUUACCAUCAUACACAGCUUCAAUUUGAGGUUCAUACAGCCUGAGUGGUUUUGGUUUUUUCUUUGGAACCACUAAAUAUUCUAAUUUCUUAUUCCUCAAUCCCUUCAAUUCUUUUCGGAAUUGUUUAAUGUGCUUUUUCACAUUUAAUGGAUACUUAUCGAACACAUUUGCUUUAAGCAAUUUAAAAAUUGGUUCAAAAAUUGAAUAUACAGCUUCUAAUUCCUCUAAAUGAUUCUUGAAUUCUCGCAAUAGAUUAACAGCUGUUAAUAGAGUUCUUAUUUUAAAUUCAUCAUCCAGGUCUCCAUCUAUCAAGUCUUCUACUUUCAUGAGUGCAUUACUGGGUUCAAUAUCUAGAUUAGUUUGAUCAUCAUCAAGCACCAACAAAUUACUUAAUUCUCCGUUUGUUUUAAAGGGUGGUAUCAUUUUCUUUCCUUGAAUUAAGUGCUUUGGUGUGGCUAAAUAAAUUAUUCCUCGCAAGUAAUUUAUUACCGCCGGUGAGAAACGUUUGCUUAACACAGUGUACUGUAAAUAUAAUUUAUGUAUACUCAUCAAAAUAUAGUACUAAACUAAAAUUAAAAUGAUUUAUACCUCUAAAAUAAGUGUACAUAUAAAUACUCCUCUUGCUAUGUCUACUUUAUUUCUCACACGACACCUAAGUAAAAUUUGGGACAUAAAUAUCAAGCAAGGUGUAACAACACAGUGUCUAAAAUCAGAUGUUGGAAAUAUCAAAGAAACUAAUUUAAAAAAAAUAAGCUGCAACAAAAAUACAUAUAUUAAAUCCAAUAUGGUUUAAUGAAAAUCAUUUCUUAUAAUUGUAUGUUGAACAUACAGUGUCCAGGAAUGGAUAUUUCUUCUUAUUUUUCUCAUACGUUUCAUGCUUCUCUUUAAUUAUUUCUUGUAUAGCAGUUUUAGCAUUUUCUGAAUUCAUAUGUGCUAAAUCAUAUAUAAAAGGACACAACCUAAACAAAAGUAUGUAUAAUGAAACAUAAGUUACAGAAAUAGUUGAUUAUUCUUAUCAUUAGUGUUGUUGUUAUUAUUAUUACUAUUCUUAUUAUUUAUAAAUUACAUGUUACCUGUCAAAAAUAUUAAAGAAGUUAAUUAUGCUUUUAGCAUCAUCUUCUACAGCAUAAUCAUUUAUAUGCUGUAAUAAAUAUAAAAACAAAUUUGAUAAUUUUUCUUUAUUUUUGCCAUCUAAUGUCCAGUGAUUACACUUUAUGAUACGAUCAAUAAUAACUGAUUGGUAUUCAGCAUUAUGAUUUUCUAACAAACUUUGCAAUUCUUCGUAACUAUCUGGUGCUUUAUAGGUGUAAGGCAAUUCUUGUCUUGCUUUCUCCAUAAUUUCUUUUCUUUUUAACAAAUCAUCUCUAAUUUCUUGUUUUCUGUUUUUAUCCUCUGUAUCUGGAAUGCUUGCAUCAGUUUUUGAUUUUAAUAUUGACUUCUUUUUUGUAACAUCCAAGUUUUCUUUUUCUUUUGAAACACUUUCAUUAUUUUUUGCAAAUCUAACAUUCUUCUUUUUGCAUUGUACAGUUUCAUCUUCACUAGAAGAUUCUGAAGCUUUUAAGUCUGAUAAAUCAUCCUCUUCAGAACUUUCAACAUUUGAGAAUUCUGCGUCAGAAUUUUUGUUAGAUUCAUUGUCAACAUUAUUGUCUCCUUUUUUCUUUCUUUUAAUAACACCAUUUGUUUCAACAGUAUUUAACUGUAUAUUCUCGUUCUGAUCAUCAUUAGGUUCUUUGGUAAUAUCAGAAAGCGCAUUAUCAGAGUCACCAUCGUCAUCUUCAUUGUCCGAGUCCUCUUCUGUAUUUUUAAUUGAAAUAUCCUUUUCAUCAUCUUGAUCUUCGUCAUUUAUAGUUUCCAUUACAAAACCGUCAUCAAGAUCAUCUGCAGAUUUAUGCCUAAUUUCAUUGUUUGCAUCAUUUACAAAUCCUUUCAUUCUUGCUAAUCGAUCUGCUUCAAGGGCUUCCAAUUUUUCUUUCUCCUCUUUUACAAUUUCUUCUUCAGAUUUUAAUUUAUCAGUUGGCAUACCUCGAGCUUCAAAUUUCAAUUCACGGACAGCAAUGUCAUAAUCAUCAGCUUUAGAUUUGUUAGCAACUUCUACCGAUUUAUUAGUUGCAGUUAUAAUUGGAAGGAGAUCUCUCCAUUCUGAAUCAAGUUUUUCUGUUAAAUCUAUUGUUUGUUCACGUAUUUUUUGUUUCUCAGCUUUACGCCUCUUUGAUUCAGCUAUAAGCUCCUCAAUGAGAUCUUUUCUAGACUUUGGAGUUUCUGAUUUUGAUAGAACACCUCCACCAAAGUGAGCCUCCCCAACAAAUUUAUCAUCUAAAUUUCCUGUCCUGUUCUCAUCAUCACUAAACUCAUCGUCACUUUUUGGAUUUUCAAACUUCUCAAUUUCUUCUAGAGUUUGACCUUUAUGUGUCAAUACUUCUUCGUCAUUUAAACUAUAAAUAUUUUUCUUCUUAUGAGCUUUCAUUCGUUCGGCAGCAAAUCUAGCAAGAGCUCUAUCUUCUACACUCAUAGCAACAUUCUUUUCACCUAUACGUUUAUCUAAGAAUAUAUUAUCUUUGUUUUUGAAUUUAUAUUCUUGAAGAAGCGUUCCUUUGCGUUUCUUAAUUGCUUUUGCACGAGAUAUGCCUGGCAAUCCUUUGUCUGUUUUGUUUUUUCUUCCCAAAACAUUUUGUUUAUCUCUAUUUAUGUGCACCUCAAAAGGAUUUAAUUUUUUUUUAUUUUGCUGACCUUGUUUCUUUUGAGAAAGCUCUGAUAAAAAUUUCUUUUUUGCUUUAGCCAUUAUUCAUUACCUUUAUGUCCACAUGAAGCAUGUAUAAAUGUUUUUUCUGAAAUAAAUAACUUCAUUUCUAGAUUACUUGAUUAAUUAACAUAUUAGCUACAGAAUAUACAGAGAUCACGUAUCACUGAUCAUUUACAUAGAAUAUUACAAAAUUAUUUUCUUUACCUAUAAUACUAUUAAUUUAAAUAUAAUUAUAAAAUAAGUUUCUAAAAUUUAUAACCUCUUUUCAAAAGCAUGUAUUAAAUUCCAUUUUAAACAUUAAUUUCUAAACGUAUAAUAUAACAUUCUUAUGUCCUUAAAGAUUCUAAUGAACCAAUAUGAGUAAAAAUAUUGAAAUUAAUAUUUCAUUUAUAUAAACAUUUAUUAAGCAUGUAUCAAACGUUUCCUGCUGUCCACGUGUAUUUGACUUUACUACCACCACCACCACCACGACUGUCAACAAUUUAGUGGCGCAACCUAGCGUAGACAAUCCAGUCUAGAAGUUUGAGCGUUCUCGCAACAGGUGGCGCCACCAAUCAUGGAGAAGGAAAAACGAAGAUACGUAUAUAGGGGUGGGAAGAACAAAGAUACUGUUGUGAUACUAAAGCUAUCGUAAUGGGGUUUCUCCAGGGGGGUUUGAGGUCUUGCAGCGAGUGGACGUAUGCCCUUUUCCUCAAUCCGAAUAGCUGUGGGUGCGAGUUCUAAAUGGGAAGCGACAAACUAUACGUAUCUUAACCCCUUGACCUAUCGUGUGUCAGACUCUUAACGAAAAUUUGAAACUGAAUUUGACAAAUCUAAGUGUCAUUUAUUGUUUUUAAAUGUAAAUUAAAUAUUAACCUUCUAUUAUUAAUCGUUACCAUUUGAAGUAAGUGUCGACAUAGAAUAAGCAUCAGAAUUUUUUCUUUCCCUAAUAAAUUAUUAAUAAUAAAGUAGUAUCCAUCAUAGUUAUGAAAUAAGUCACAGGGCAAGGGGUAACGCCAUUCUAGAAUUUUGGAAAAAACGAUUUGUUUUGCUUAAAUGAUGCUUUAUUAUGUGAAGAAUGUAACUAUAAUUGAAAAUCUUUGAUUUUUUCUUCUAAGACCAACCGUUAUAUAAAAAUCUUUCCGGCCAUGCAGCUCUCCGAAAUAAAGGUGUUGUUGUUUACCAGCACCUAUAGCCGUCAUUUUGGAUCCAAAAUGUUUAAAAAAAUUCACAAACCUUCCUGAAAAUAUAUGCAAUAAAACUUUUUUGUUCUUGAUUCUAUACCUUGUAUGGCUUUAAUUUGAAAAAUUUCCGAAGAUCAUCUUAUUCUCCGACCUCUAGAGUGGCGUUACCUCUUAUAAGUCUGUGACUUAUGACUACAAGUUUAAUUUUUUCGCCACUGAUGUCGCCACUUAUCCUAUAAACUAUAUUUACUAGCUGAUGUUUAAAAAGAAGUACAUACCAACAGAAUGUAGAGCAAUUGCUCAAAUAAAUUAUUGGCACGUUGACUGCCACGAGAAUUUCGAGCGUGUUGUUAUAGUAGGAUUUUAUAAUAGAGGAAAAUAGUAUUAAACAUAAUUAUCAAUUUUUGGGUGAACGCAAGGAAUUACUUAAGCAUCAUUGAAUGCGAAUAAUCAGGGAACAUCGACGAGUAAACAAAAUGCAUUGCUUGUCUGUAUAAAAUACCAAUACUUUAUUUUUCAAUCGACUGUGCGUCGCACCACGCACGGGGGAUAUGUACAAAGUCGUCGCGUUGUGUUGCAACCGCGUCGGUGCAACCUCGAAAACGCCUACCGAUUAAAAAGUUAUUUUACGUGCUAGGUUUAAAAAGUAACGCAUAAGUGUUGUUUGCUUCUUUCGUCGUUUUUCUAUAUUUUCUUCUAUCUCUCUCUCUCUCUCUCUCUCUUUUCUUUUUUUCUACCCUCGUUUUGUCCCUUUCUCUAUCGUUUUCUUUCUUCUUUUGCUUGCUCCUUUACGGCGACUGGUUAAAAACUAUACAAACAUGCUGUUCCGAGCGGUGUAUAAUAUGCGGUGCCUGAGGUAUAUCAGUGGUAUUACUAUUGCGUUGCUUCGGAAAUCGGGAAAACAACUGAUACAACAAAUAUACAUAGUAACGUACAAAAAAAAAGAAAAACGAUGCGAGCGCUUGUUCAUCGUAUCUGGCAGUGAAUCGGCUUUACAGUUUCGUUGUUCCGCGGCUAACACCUCACG